rnacentral:rRNA from 1 species
UGGAUCCAGACUUUGAUCAUGGCUCAGGAUGAACGCUAGCUACAGGCUUAACACAUGCAAGUCGAGGGGCAGCAUGUCGGUAGCUUGCUACCGAUGAUGGCGACCGGCGCACGGGUGAGUAACGCGUAUCCAACCUGCCAUUGUCCCGCGCAUAACCCGGUGAAAACCGGACUAAUUCGCGAUGUGUCCCGUUGAGGCAUCGAUUCGGGAUGAAAGACUUGUCGGACAGUGAUGGGGAUGCGUCUGAUUAGCUUGCCGGCGGGGUAACGGCCCACCGGGGCGACGAUCAGUAGGGGUUCUGAGAGGAAGGUCCCCCACAUUGGAACUGAGACACGGUCCAAACUCCUACGGGAGGCAGCAGUGAGGAAUAUUGGUCAAUGGGCGAGAGCCUGAACCAGCCAAGUAGCGUGCAGGAUGACGGCCCUACGGGUUGUAAACUGCUUUUAUGCGGGGAUAAAGUGGCGCACGUGUGCGUUUUUGCAGGUACCGCAUGAAUAAGGACCGGCUAAUUCCGUGCCAGCAGCCGCGGUAAUACGGAAGGUCCGGGCGUUAUCCGGAUUUAUUGGGUUUAAAGGGAGCGUAGGCCGCCGAUUAAGCGUGUUGUGAAAUGCCGUGGCUCAACCAUGGCACUGCAGCGCGAACUGGUUGGCUUGAGUGCGCGGAAGGCAGGCGGAAUUCGUGGUGUAGCGGUGAAAUGCUUAGAUAUCACGAAGAACCCCGAUUGCGAAGGCAGCUUGCCGCAGCGCUACUGACGCUGAAGCUCGAAGGUGCGGGUAUCGAACAGGAUUAGAUACCCUGGUAGUCCGCACGGUAAACGAUGGAUGCCCGCUGUGUGCCAUUAUGGUACGCGGCCAAGCGAAAGCGUUAAGCAUCCCACCUGGGGAGUACGCCGGCAACGGUGCAACUCAAAGGAAUUGACGGA